UACAGAGGGUGCAAGCGUUGUUCGGAAUUAUUGGGCGUAAAGCGCGUGUAGGCGGCUUUGCAAGUCGGGUGUGAAAGCCCUCAGCUUAACUGAGGAAGUGCGCCCGAAACUGCAGAGCUUGAGUGCCGGAGAGGGUGGCGGAAUUCCCCAAGUAGAGGUGAAAUUCGUAGAUAUGGGGAGGAACACCGGUGGCGAAGGCGGCCACCUGGCCGGUAACUGACGCUGAGACGCGAAAGCAUGGUGAGCAAACAGG
rnacentral:rRNA from 1 species